rnacentral:tRNA from 1 species
GACCGAAUGGCGUAGUGGUUAGUGACCCUGACUACGGAGCCGAUGGUCCCGGGUUCGAUUCCCGGCUUGGGCA